rnacentral:pre_miRNA from 13 species
AAAAUAUGUUCUCCUAGCAACAGGUUCUCACUGUGAUCUGCAGAGUAUAAAGCCUACAUCUGAGAUCAUCGUGAAAGCCAGUUGCUUACGAACUAAAUU